GGAUGCGGACGAAGAAUCGCCUCGCUCGUGAGGGCGGGGAGGAAAGUCCGGACUCCGCAGGGAAGGAUGAUCCCUAACGGGGAUGCUCCCCCGCGAGUCGGGGGAGCCGGAAAGUGUCACAGAGAACAGACCGCCCCGCCGCCGCGAGGCGACGGGGCAAGGGUGAAACGGUGAGGCAAGAGCUCACCGUUCCGGCCGGCGACGGCCGGAACUGAGACAAACCCCAUCCGGAGCAAGGCUGAACAAGGGGCGCUCGAGGCUUUCCCGGCCGAUGCCCUGGGUUGGCCGCUGGAUGCCGGCGGUAACGCCGGCGGCAGAUAAAUGAUUCUUCGCGACAGAAUCCGGCUUACAGUCCGCAUCCUGCC
rnacentral:RNase_P_RNA from 1 species